CGGUGUUCAACUGGCGUGUCCGCGGGACGUCCUGCCGGUGGGCUUAGCCCGCAAGGGCGGCCCAACUUCAAAUCCCAUCGCGGUGCUCUUCACUGAGUGUCGAGGAGGGCCGGCACGUUUACUUUGAACAAAUUAGAGUGCUUAAAGCAGGCUAAAACUUCGCCUGAAUACUGUGUGCAUGGAAUAAUGGAAUAGGACCUCGGUUCUAUUUUGUUGGUUUUCGGAACCCCGAGGUAAUGAUUAAUAGGAACGGAUGGGGGCAUUCGUAUUGCGACGUUAGAGGUGAAAUUCUUGGAUCGUCGCAAGACGGACAGAAGCGAAAGCAUUUGCCAAAAACGCUUUCAUUGAUCAAGAACGAAAGUUAGAGGUUCGAAGGCGAUCAGAUACCGCCCUAGUUCUAACCAUAAACGAUGCCAGCUAGCGAUCCGUCGACGUUCCUCCGAUGACUCGACGGGCAGCUUCCGGGAAACCAAAGCUUUUGGGUUCCGGGGGAAGUAUGGUUGCAAAGCUGAAACUUAAAGGAAUUGACGGAAGGGCACCACCAGGAGUGGAGCCUGCGGCUUAAUUUGACUCAACACGGGAAACCUCACCAGGCCCGGACACCGGAAGGAUUGACAGAUUGAGAGCUCUUUCUUGAUUCGGUGGGUGGUGGUGCAUGGCCGUUCUUAGUUGGUGGAGCGAUUUGUCUGGUUAAUUCCGAUAACGAACGAGACUCUAGCCUGCUAACUAGGCGUAUUUUCGACAUCUCAAAGGUCCGUCGUCCCGGCCCUCGGGUCGUGGGCGUGCGCGAUUUUUACUGUCGGCGUACUAUCAAUUCUUCUUAGAGGGACAGGUGGCUUCUAGCCGCACGAGAUUGAGCAAUAACAGGUCUGUGAUG
rnacentral:rRNA from 1 species